AUGCUUGCUUCAGCAGCACAUAUACUAAAGUUAGAUACAGAGAAGAUUAGCACGGCCCCUGCGCAAGGAUGACACGCAAAAAGUGUCCAAACCAAUAACUUU
ensembl:snRNA U6 U6 spliceosomal RNA